rnacentral:lncRNA from 1 species
AAACAUCUUUGGGGAAAAAAGAGGAAAAAAAACCCCAAACCCCACAACCAGGGGGGCGAGGAGUGUCGGGGGGGGGACACACAACCUCUACCCCUGGGCAAAUUGUAGCAAAAAAACCUCAUUUUUUUUGUUCUUCCUCCCCACAAGGUCCAACCCUCACAAGAGUCAUUUCCUGCCUCCGUUGGGACGGGUCAAGAAAUUCCGAGGAGCGGCGGCACCGGACGGGACCCAGGGAUAAGAUGACGAACUUUUUAAUUGCAGCGCUCUUGGUUUUGCAUUUUUUACCAGGGAAUGCUGAGACAGAAGAUGAGGAGAUAUCCGAGUUUUUAUACGACUACGCGUCUCGUUUCAGUGAUUAUUUAUAUGCCACUGUAGAAUAUUACUCCGAAAACACCACGUUGAUACCCACCAUAUACACCUACGAGGAGUAUCAGGAAGAGCUUCAGGAGUCGCUGGGAUCCCCCCUCCGAUGCCACCUCCCCCUCCUCAUCCUCCUCAGCCUCCUGGGUUUCCUGCUAUGACCCCCCCCUACCCGGCUCCUCCUCAGAAGGUACUAAAGCCCCCGUGGAUUUAAGCCCCUCAAAGUGUGUCUUUGAGCCAGCAAAAUUCAGUUCUUCCCAAAGCAGCACCAAGCAGUGCUUCGCAGCAACUUUAAAUAACUAAUUAAAAAAUAAUUCAGCUUUUUGGGCAUCCAGCCUCAACGCUGGGGGCAACCGAAGAAGCUUUUAUUCCUAUUAAUGACCUAAAAAAAGAGCAUUUUAGGGUAUUUUUCCAUAGCAGCCAAGUGGGAGCUUCAAGGGUGACAACAGCCUUUGGGUACCCCCAGCCCGACCCGGGGCUCGCUCCCCGCUGCUCCAACCACCCCAAAAUUCCCCUUUUUUCCAGAGGCUGGAGCUCAAUGAGAUCCCAGGUGCAGGAGAAACCCCCCCCCAGCCUGGUUUGAAACACAAUAGGAGGACGUGGCAACCACUUCCUCACCUUUUCCCCUCCUUUCAGACGCACACACGUGUGGCUUUGAUGAAGAAAAGAACCUCGUCACCGCCUCGGAAACGACAUCCUCCUCUCCAAAAGCCCUUCCCCGUUGCUUUUAGGAGGGCUGGGACUUUACAUCCCGAGGUUUUCCAGAGCUGGAAGGUGCCAUCCCGAGCUGGAAAAGUCCUGCAAACACCCGAGGAGCUUUGUCACGACUGGGUUUCUUUCCUUAUUUCCUAUUAUUCUCUUGUAAAUACAAACUCCCGACAAUAAAACAAUCAGCGGCCGGGCUCCGGCGUGAAGC